UACGGGGGGAGCAAGCGUUGUUCGGAUUUACUGGGCGUAAAGAGCGCGCAGGCGGUCGUUCAAGUCGAGUGUGAAAGCCCCCGGCUCAACUGGGGAGGGUCACGCGAUACUGAUCGACUCGAAGGCAGGAGAGGGAAGUGGAAUUCCCGGUGUAGUGGUGAAAUGCGUAGAUAUCAGGAGGAACACCGGUGGCGAAGGCGGGUCUCUGGGCCGAUACUGACGCUGAGGAGCGAAAGCGUGGGGAGCGAACAGG
rnacentral:rRNA from 1 species